UUUCAGGAAUUUGAAGUCGGAGAAGAUAGCACAAUCCAUUAAGGUUAGAUGAUUCUUCUUUUAAUCUUGUCAUUAAAGUUCUAUAGUGUUGU
rnacentral:sRNA from 1 species